rnacentral:rRNA from 1 species
UACGUAGGGGGCAAGCGUUGUCCGGAAUUAUUGGGCGUAAAGAGCGUGUAGGCGGUCCGGUAAGUCAGCUGUGAAAGUCAAGGGCUCAACCCUUGAAAGCCGGUUGAUACUGUCGGGCUAGAGUCCGGAAGAGGCGAGUGGAAUUCCCGGUGUAGCGGUGAAAUGCGCAGAUAUCGGGAGGAACACCAAUGGCGAAGGCAGCUCGCUGGGACGGUACUGACGCUGAGACGGCGAAAGCGUG